rnacentral:rRNA from 1 species
GUCGGGGAAUUACAAGCAAAGCUUAAAACCCAAAGGACUUGACGGUACCCCAUAUCCCCCUAGAGGAGCCUGUCUCCUAAUCGAUAAUCCUCGUUCAACCUCACCAUGACUAGUUUAUUCAGCCUGUAUACUUCCGUCGUCAGCGCACCGCCGAACGACACAUAGGCAGCCUAAUGUCCACAUAUGUCCAUACAUGUGUGCUUGUAGCGUCAAUACGUCAGGUCAAAGUGCAGCAAACGUUGUGGAGAAAGAUUGGCUACACUUUUUAAUUUAAAAGAAACGGAAACAAGAUGAAACUCAGUUAUAAAGGUGGAUCUAGAAGUAAAAAGAAGACAUUAAGUUCCUUUUAACACGGCACUGGAGUUCGU